ACGACCUUACUUGAACAGGAUCUGUUCUAUAGGCUCGUACAUCUGUAUCCUUAAGUGCUAAGGAGACAGGCAACCAAGUCUGGUGGAUGAGAUAGGACCGUUAGAUCAGAGCGUGAUUAAUGGCUGAGACCUCUUGUGGGUCAAAGCUGUAGAGGAUCGUUCUCAGCUGUUUAAAAACCGGCUGGGGUGGUCUUACGGUUGUCUGACAGAUU